rnacentral:rRNA from 1 species
GGCUGGUAUGAACGGUUGGACGAGGUAUAAGCUGUUUCAUAUAAAUUUAUGAUAGAAUUUUAUAUUUUAGUUAAAAAGCUAAAAUAUUAUUAAAAGACGAGAAGACCCUAUAAAUCUUUAUAUUUUUUUAUAUUUAAAUUUUUUGGAUUUGUUUUAUUUUUAUAUUAUAAAAUAUUUUGUUGGGGUGAUGUUAAAAUUUAAUGAACUUUUAAUUGUUUAAAAUCAUUAAUUUAUGAGUUAUUGAUCCAUUAGUAGUGAUUAUAAGAUUAAGUUACUUUAGGGAUAACAGAGUAAUUUUUUUGAGAGUUUCAAUCGAAAAAAAGUUUGAGACCUCGAUGUUGGAU